AAAAACUGAUAAAAAUGUCAUACUAUAGUAAGGUGUUCAAAAUGUGAUAAAAAUGUCAUACUAUAGUAAGGUGUUCAAAAUGUGAUAAAAAUGUCAUACUAUAGUAAGGUGUUCAAAAACUGAUAAAAAUGUCAUACUAUAGUAAGGCACUGAAAAUGUGAUAAAAAUGUCAUACU